rnacentral:tRNA from 1 species
UGGGCUGUAACUCAAUGGUAAAGCAUUUGCCUAGUAUGCAGAAGACCAUGGGUUCAAUCCCCAGCCCCA